AAAUUAUCCUCAUAAGUUUUACGAUAAGAGGAACCACUAUUGAUACUAAAAAUUUUUGUUUUUCUAAUUUAGAUAUUAUCUAAGGUGGUGGCACAAAAUCGGAGGCCCCGACUGUUUACUAAAAACACAAUUCAGAGCAAUGAUAAAUAUCAUAGUAUUCUGGAUGAAAUUUGCCCGAUGCCAUUAAUAUAAGAAAGGUAAUGGGAAACUGUUACUGAUCGAAAGUCUGGUUAAUAGCGGUCUUAACUAUGAGGAUCCAAAGGUAGCAAAAUCAAUUGGCCAUUAAAUGUGGUCCGGUAUCAAUAAUGUAACGAUGGUCUCACUGUCUCUACAACUUGCUCAGUGAAAUUGAAUUACCCGUGCAGAUGCGGGUUAUCUCCAGAGGGACGGGAAGACCCUAUGCAGCU
rnacentral:rRNA from 1 species